GAAAAAGAAAAAGCAACAGCAGAGUUUGAGAGGACUGACUUCAAUUUGGAAAGACGUUCUGUUGUGGGUAGAAUGCUAUCAAACAGCAUCACAUGCUACAGAGAAAUGUUUUGUGAAAGCAACAGCCAAUCGAUGGGAUAGGCUUCAUUGUUGUCUUAUUUGAAGAAAUUGCCACAGCCACCACAACCUUCAGCCAUCACCACCCCGAGGAGCCAGCAGCCUUCAACAUCAAGCCUCCAACCAGCAAAAUCAUUAUGACUCACCGAAAGCUCGGAUAAGGGUUAGCAUUUUCUAGCAAAAAACUAUUUUUCCAUCAAGGUAUGUACAUUGUAUUUUUUAGACAUAAUGCUAUUACACAUUUAGGCUACAAUAUAGUGUAAACAAACUUUUAAUAUGCACUGGAGAACCAAAACAUUCAUUUGACUUGCUUUAUUGCAAUAUUCCCUUUAUUGCCGUGCUCUGGAACCAAACCUACCAUAUCUCUGAGGUAUGUCUGUGUGCCAUGAUACAUGUGCCCAUUUAUUUGUUUAACUUAUGUUUCCCCUAGAAGACAGAAAGUCUUGCGUAUAAAACAUUAUUCUAGUCCCUAGAUCUAAAGCACUGAACCAGAAUUUAAAGUAUGUCCCUGCUUGUCUAAGGUUUAAUUUGUAGUGGAGGGACACUGAAAAUAAACACAUGAAUGAGCACGUCGGCCAUAUCAUGUAUCACAUCCUUCCAUGGUCUAUCAUCUCAUAAAUCACUUAAUGAGAAAAGCAAUGCAGAAAAACAAAAGAGGUAAGGGAAUAAAGAACAAUAUGGGAGAGGUAAGGUCUCUUGUUUUAAGCAGAAUGCUGAGGAAGGAGUUCACUGCUGAUGCCUGAACAGACAUGAAUGAAGUGAAGAAGCGAGCCAUGCAGGAAUCUGGAGGGAGUGAAGUCUCAGCAAGAAGAAUAGGUUAAGAAAAUCACCGAAGACCCAUCGUUGGAUUGGAAACGUGGAGGUCAUUGGUUUUGACCAGGACGGUUUUAGUGGAGUCGCUGGGAUAGAAGCCUGCUUGGAAUGUGAUCAAGAGAGGACCAGAGCCGGAAAGUCUGCUUAACUCUUUGAAGACUAUGAGAGAAAUUACGGUGUUUGCUUACUGAUGGAAACGAUCUGGCAUAGAAGGCAUCGAUGAGAAGCUACUGCAGAGCAAAUCUUUGAGCAGGUGGAAGGAAAUUGAAUGGAGCGCAGAAUAGAACAUAGACAGUUGCAGAAUUGGAGUGGAAGAACAUGCCCUAUUGCCAUUGCCAUCACCCUUCUUCCACAAAAGGCUAAAGAUUUGUGAAGACUGUAGAUUGACUGAAAAGGACUUCGACUCUCCAUUGAAUGCUUGCGCUCAGACGAUCUACCCGAGGGCUUGUGUCCUGCUUUCUUCAAUGAGGUGAAUGUGAGGACACAAUAAAUUAUAUUCAAAUGGCAGUCAUGGAGGAAACUUCCCUUUCCUUCCUCAUCCACCAAGCUGAUCGAUGGGCGCUAAAGCCCCGGGGAAGCAGCAUCUGUUGUAACUCAAGGAUCCCUGCUCGAGCUGAGUAUGAAAUUAACAGACACAGAGCAGUUAGCAGCUCAACAUUUGUUCAAGUCUGGCACAUGCACACAUCAUUAGCAACUAUAUUUGAGGAGCAAGAUCAAGGAGGUGAGGAAGAGGGUGUAUCUGAUUAAAGGGAUAUUCAGGAAAGAGGAAAUUCAGAGCAUUUAGGUAAAGCUUCAUGGCUAAAAUAAAUGAACUGGAGAGCAGAGCAAACAGCCAGGGACAGGGGAUAAUUUUGCCCGUGCAACUUCCCAAACAAAGUCAUUUCACGCAGUGGAUCCCCCAGAGUGGCUGGCUGCCUCUUUUACUUCAGCUCCAUGGGCUGUCUCUCCAUUAAAAUUCGAGGGCAAAGAUUUUGCUGUCCUGUUCACUGCUGUAAUCUGGGCUCUUAGUAGAUAAAAUUAAAUAUUCAUGGAAUAAGUUAACGUA